rnacentral:rRNA from 1 species
GUAGGUGGCAAGCGUUGUCCGGAAUUAUUGGGCGUAAAGCGCGCGCAGGCGGUCCUUUAAGUCUGAUGUGAAAGCCCACGGCUCAACCGUGGAGGGUCAUUGGAAACUGGGGGACUUGAGUACAGAAGAGGAAAGCGGAAUUCCAAGUGUAGCGGUGAAAUGCGUAGAGAUUUGGAGGAACACCAGUGGCGAAGGCGGCUUUCUGGUCUGUGACUGACGCUGAGGCGCGAAAGCGUGGGGAGCAAACAGGGAUUAGAUACCCUGGUAGUCCACGCCGUAAACGAUGAGUGCUAAGUGUUAGGGGGUUUCCCGCCCCCUUAGUGCUGCAGCUAACCGCAUUAAGCACUCCCGCCUGGGGAGUACGGCCCGCAAGGCUG